rnacentral:tRNA from 1 species
GGGCGUUUGGUUUAGGGGUAUAAUGUUCGCUUCGCAUAUUCUCAGCUGCUUGCGAAAGGUCGCCGGUUCGAUUCCGGCAUCGUCCA